UACGAAGGGGGGCUAGCGUUGCUCGGAAUCACUGGGCGUAAAGCGCACGUAGGCGGGUCUUUAAGUCGGGGGUGAAAUCCUGGAGCUCAACUCCAGAACUGCCUUCGAUACUGAGGAUCUCGAGUCCGGGAGAGGUGAGUGGAACUCCGAGUGUAGAGGUGAAAAUUCGUAGAUAUUCGGAAGAACACCAGUGGCGAAGGCGGCUCACUGGCCCGGUACUGACGCUGAGGUGCGAAAGCGUGGGGAGCAAACAGG
rnacentral:rRNA from 1 species